rnacentral:lncRNA from 1 species
CCAUUGGGACAUUAGCACAACUGGUCAGCUCACGUUCAAACUGUUAAUGUCCCUUUGCCAUUCAGAUAGUGGUUCUUCUAUUUUGUUAGUUCUCUAGCAGGAAAACAGAUUAUUAGUUUUUUUUUUCUUAGAGAAUGUCAAUUUCUAUAAACUCCAUGGUCAGUUUGAAACAAUUUUUCACUUUUAACUUUGUUUCGAUUGUUGCAGUAGGAGAGAAUUUUGCUUGGAUCGAGUUGGUUUUCUGUCUUUGGUAUAUUCAUAAAUAGUGAAUGUUAAACAGUACCUAAGCCAGAAGGCACUAUAGAGCCCUGUGUACCUGCACACAUUGUCACCGUCACCUUAUUAAACAGGACACUGCCCUGUCUGUGAAAGCAAAUAGAAUGGUUCCACAGACAAUAUCCUUUAUUUCCACCUUUUCUGUCUUUCCAGUCUUUCUUGUCUGACUCUGUACUGUAAGAGAUAAGGCCGGGCUGCUAAAAAUUCACUCAUACCCUAGGUACAGGAGGCUGGUAAAAACAUUCACUCUGUCUUACAGUAAGUAAAUUCUCAGCAAUUCUUUGGUGAAAGGGUGGGUGGAUUAUUUGUGUGUUAGGUAUGGGUAUAAAUGAGUGAAUGAAAAGAGAAGUGGGCAGUGUACUGGCUGGGUUUCUGUCAUCAUUGCACAGGCUAGAGUCAUCACAGGAAGGAGCCUCGGUUGAGGAAAUGCCUCCAUGAGAUCCAGCUGUAAGGCAUUUUCCCAAUAGUGAUCAAUGGGGAUAGGCCCAGCCCAUGUUGGGUUCUGGGUUCUAUUAGAAGGCUAAGCAAAUCAUGAGAAGCAAGCCAGUAAGCAGCACUUCUCUGUGGCCUCUGCAUCAGCUCCUGCCUCCAGGUUCCUGCCCUGCUUGAGUUCCUGUCCUAACUUCCUCCUAUGAUGGACUAGGAUCUGGAAAUAUAAGCCGAAUAAACCCUUUCCUCCCCGACUUGGUUUUUGGUCAUGAUGCCUCAUCACAGCAAUAGAAACCCUAAUAGGCAGUGUGGAAAGCUAAAAUAUGGAAAUAAUUUGGAUUUUUUGUAUGCAAUUUAAUUAUCUCACUUUAUCUUCUCAGUUGUCUCAUGAUGUUGCAGAACAACAUUAAUAAGAUGCUGUGAAUGGAGAAAUUGAAACAGACUUCACAUGCCUCUUCUAAAGUUACACAACAAGUAUUACGUUACGUCAGUUAUAGAAUGUGAUCAAAAGAAUUGGAGCAUCCCUGUGUUUCUUUUCCUCAUAUCUCUUCUUCUUUCUUACCUGCUGGAUGCCCUCCCAAGUGCUGCUUGAUUUUUCUGCAGUCAUUUAUUAAGGGCGACAGGAAUCACAGAUGGUUAUAUUCUAACCCAUUUCCUUGGGGUUGUGUAUAAUCUUGGGUCUUAAUCUUAAUUCCAUGGCCUAUUGUGAGUGGGAGGUAGAGGGAAGAUUAGAAGGCAGUGGAUAAAACGAGAUGUCCAAUGGAGAUGAGCUCCUUUGUAGGCAAGGUGAAAUGUGAAAGCUAACCAGGAGAUACAAAUGAAAAUCAAUCAGAAGGCAGCCUUUUAACACAGAUCCUUAAGACAGUAAUCUGCUUUUGGGCCGUGCCUUACACGAGGAUUUCGGAAGCUAUUCUCUCAAGUGUGAGAUCAGUGGUUAUGACAUUAUGGAAAAUUCCUGCUGCAUUUCUUUUCUUUAGUCUGAUACGUCUUCUGAUAACAAGGUGGUCUGAAGUGAGAAAGCUGAUUUCACUUCUGUAAAUAUCUAAGAACUUUCUGGUAGCGUUGUUCUCUUUCUAAACUAUUUUAGCUUUUAAAGAUUUAUGUAUUUAAGCCGGGCGUGGUGGCACACACCUUGAA